rnacentral:lncRNA from 1 species
GGAUAAUGCAAGUGUUUAACAGAUGCUUCACUAUUAAAAUAUUUUCCCCCCAAGUCUCAAAUAUUGAAGAAUCUCUAACCAGAAGGCACAGAUCAUUCAUGGGGAUGUAUAACCGAAACCAGUCCUCUCCACCGCCUGGGGAUCUUCACUUUCGCAGUCUACGACUGCCUGUGACUCCAGAAAGACAAACUGCAGAUUGGCCAAGUGCCUUUCAAACUGUUUUUUACUGGAUGAAGAAACUCAACCAAGAAAAUAUAUGUCGAUUCUUGUAUAUGGGACAAUAUUAGCUGCUGUGAUUUUUAAUACUAGCAUAAAAUAUAAGAAUCUUUUUAUUACUGUGAUAUUGUUUUUUCCUAAAUGAAUGCAUAGUGUAACAAUUGGUGUCAAAAAGCAUUGAAUUUUUUUCAGAUGGAUUAAGCUGGAAUAAUAAAGUAUAUCUAUGAGAUGAUUUCUGUAAACUCUGACUUGCUGAGAAAAAAGUGAAAAAGCUUUUUCUGGAAGAAACAUGGCAACUUAACCGUUAUUAAUCUGGACUAAAUAAAACAGGAAACUGCUUCUUUA